AGACUCGUGGGACUUGAUCGAAGCUCAGCACCACGCGAGGAUUCCGAGCCCUAGUUAACCUCACCUCCGCACCACAGUGACGGGAGGAAAGCUGGUGGCUGCCACUGUGCCCAAGUCCUACAGGCUCUAGAGUUGCCUUGGCUUUCUGGCUGGAAGAUGAUUCCUGCAAAAGGACCAUGUUGCUGCUGACGGACCGCGGGGUCAUUGGAAGAUGCUUUCCUUGAGGAUUACACGCGGAAAAGGGCCAUCAGUCAAGGGGAGAGCUGGCUGGUGAAACUGACUGAUUUCCAACCCCCACCCCCACUGGGGAAGUGGUUUCAAUGGCUCCAUCUCCCAGGAGAAGCGGUAGGAAAGAUGCCAACGCUUUGCCAAGCAUGUCCUCAACUUUCUGGGCGAUCAUGAUCCUGGCUAGUCUCCUGAUUGCUUACUGCAGUCAACUGGCUGCAGGUACAUGUGAGAUUGUUACUUUGGACAGAGAUAGCAGUCAGCCCCGAAGGACUAUAGCCCGACAAACAGCUCGCUGUGCAUGUAAAAAAGGACAGAUUGCCGGUACAACAAGAGCAAGGCCAGCCUGUGUUGAUGCACGAAUUAUCAAAACAAAACAGUGGUGUGAAAUGCUUCCAUGUUUAGAAGGAGAAGGCUGUGAUUUGCUAAUCAAUAAAUCAGGCUGGACCUGUACACAACCAGGAGGACGGAUAAAGACAACCACGCCUGUCUGAGGCCAUGUGGUUUGGAGAUCUGAUCACUAGUCCGAAAAGGAAAGGCUGUUUGCAAGAUUUCUGGGGUGUUUUUUCCUGGAAAAGGUCUCCUGACAAAUGCAGCAACACAGAAUCCUCGUAGGAGUGGUUUAGGCUCUGUGUGAGCUACUUAGUCAAGUUUCACUGCUGUUGAUCAUCAUUCGUUAUAUGUCAUCAACUCAACUGUCUGUUUCUCUGUAUCUCAUGAAUGACAGCAUAAUUCCUCUACAUUAAGAGCUAAAGUUUGUUCUACCAUAUUAAGGAUCACGGAACUAAGGAAUCUAGAAAAAGAGAUAUGCUUGGGCAUUAGCAAUACAAAAAAGUUCAUGGUUAACGUUUCAUCUGCGUUAUACACCACUGCUGGACUUGCUGUUACCUACAUGUUUUAAUUCGAAGAGUCUGCUACAAUGAAGAGUAUCAUCCCAGUCAGCCUUAGAGAAGACUGUUUUGCCUAUGGGAGGACACUGAGGUGCAAAAGAGAAACUCUUCUUGUGCCCUAAACUGUCUGAAUUGCUUUUAUUUUCUUAUACUUUCAGUAUAUACAAUAGACCAAAGAGCAAAAUCUAUUUUAAAGUGGACACAAUCUUACUGUUAACAGAGUUAUGUCAUUAAAUUGUAGGAGGUCUCCACAAAGACAUGAUUCCAGAUUUCACAAAGCUGAGAUGUUGUUCAGCAGAAGUCUUUAUGGAAAACUGCAGUAAAAACUAACUCAGAGACCUACUCUUGAAAUGCCACGUUCAAGAGAACAUAAUGGAGCACUGAGUUUGAAAAACUUGGACAAAAAGAACACAAACUGUCUACACGGCACCUUUAUUCCUCUGUACUUAGAUUGACUUUCUCGUACUAAAAUCAUUUUCAGUUUUAACCAGUUAAACAUGCCUCUUCUACAGUUCCAUUUUUGAUAGUUAAAGUUGGAUAAUACAGUAUUUGCAAAGAGCAUGUUUGGUCAUCUGUGGCCUAUGUCUCAUCUGAAACACCAUUUAGCACCAGAAAGCAAAUUAAAGAGAAAACAAAAAGUAACACUUGUUUGAAAGAGAUCAUUAAAUGUAUUUUGAAAAGCCUAAAGUUAUAUAUUUAACAGUUUUUAUAUGUUGUAUAUUUGUAGAAAAUCCUAUUUAACAAUUAACGUGAUAACUCUGACAGUCAUGACAAGUGGUUCAGAGUUAAGUUGUGUUUUAUUACUUCAGUUGUCUCUGAAGUGACUGGUAUCGUUUGCUUUCUUCCAUUGGGACAUUCUGGAUGUAAAGCAUGACCAGAGAAGACUGUGUAGAAAAAGCAAAGAAUAAUGUUGUUUAUAUUACAUAAAUGCAUUCAACCAUU